GCUGCUCGUGGUCGCGCUUGUGGCGGUGCCCGUGACCAGGGCGGUGACCAGGGAGCGGAAGGGGCGGCGGGAGCGUGGCGCGCGUGCGGCG
rnacentral:tRNA from 1 species